rnacentral:rRNA from 1 species
GACGAACGCUGGCGGCGUGCCUAAUACAUGCAAGUCGAACGCAGUGGGGACGGGUGAGUAACACGUGGGUAACCUCCCCAUCAGAGGGGAUAACACUUGGAAACAGGUGCUAAACCGAUACUGAUGGAUGAACCCGCGGUGCAUUAGCUAGGUGGGGGGGUAACGGCCAACCAAGGCCACGAUACAUAGCCGGCCUGGGAGGGUGGACGGCCACACUGGGACUGGGACACGGCCCAGACUCCUACGGGAGGGAGCAGUAGGGAAUCUUCGGCAAUGUGCGGAAGUCUGACCGAGCAACGGCGGGGGAGUGAAGAAGGUUUUCGGAUCGUAAAGCUCUGUUGUUAGAGAAGCGGUAACUAACCAGAAAGGGACGGCUAACUACGUGCCAGCAGCCGCGGUAAUAC